rnacentral:rRNA from 1 species
AACGAACGCUGGCGGCACGCCUAACACAUGCAAGUCGAACGGGAUCCUAGCUUGCUAGGUGAGAGUGGCGGACGGGUGAGUAACACGUGGGAAUCUGCCUUUUUGGUUCGGGAUAACCGCGGGAAACUGCGGCUAAUACCGAAUGCCCUCGAGAGAGGAAAGAUUUAUCGCCAGAAGAGGAGCCCGCGUCCGAUUAGGUAGUUGGUGGGGUAAAGGCCUACCAAGCCGACGAUCGGUAGCUGGUCUGAGAGGAUGAUCAGCCACACUGGGACUGAGAUACGGCCCAGACUCCUACGGGAGGCAGCAGUGGGGAAUAUUGGACAAUGGGGGGCAACCCUGAUCCAGCAAUGCCGCGUGAGUGAUGAAGGCCUUAGGGUUGUAAAGCUCUUUUGCCAGGGAAGAUGAUGACUGUACCUGGAGAAUAAGCCCCGGCUAACUUCGUGCCAGCAGCCGCGGUAAU